GAAUCAUGAUACAGAUCCAUCUGUUAUUGUUCAACUAUUAGUUGUUGAAUUGUGGGAUGAUGCCUGCUGUUAUGUUGGCUGCUCAGCUGAUCGUUUGCUACCCGUUAACCAUGACAAGGCUAUGAAUAUAGAGCAAGCCCAGUUCAGCGGUUAUUUUUCACGCAAAAGGAUGGAGUUCUAUGAUUCCUGGAGUGGGUAAAUUGCUUCUGGUUCAGAUUUGGCAUGAAAUUGACUAUGGGAGAAGGAUCCUGAUGGCAUUGCUCUCGCGGAUUUCAUUAACUCGAUUUUACCAAACAACAUCAAAAUUAUUUCUUUAGUAGAUGGCCCAGCUUAUAUAUAUGUUUCUUUGUCCUUACUUCUGUGCUCUCGACAUAGCCAGAGUGUUUGGUACUAUAAUAUAUUCCUCUAUUUUCCUGGUUGUAUAUAAAUGUUGAGAACUUCAUUUGUAAUUUCGUGUGCUUUGUCCUAAUAUCAUUC